GAUGAACGCUGGCGGCGUGCCUAAUACAUGCAAGUCGAGCGAACAGACGAGGAGCUUGCUCCUCUGACGUUAGCGGCGGACGGGUGAGUAACACGUGGAUAACCUACCUAUAAGACUGGGAUAACUUCGGGAAACCGGAGCUAAUACCGGAUAAUAUAUUGAACCGCAUGGUUCAAUAGUGAAAGACGGUUUUGCUGUCACUUAUAGAUGGAUCCGCGCCGCAUUAGCUAGUUGGUAAGGUAACGGCUUACCAAGGCAACGAUGCGUAGCCGACCUGAGAGGGGGGUCGGGCACACUGGAAACGAGGGACGGGGCACAGCCCCACGGGGGGGACAAGAGGGGAAUCUUCCCCAAUGGGGGAAAACCCGAGGGGGCAAAGCCCCGGGAGGGAUGAAAGGGUUUGGAGAGUAAAACUCUCUUUUUAGGGAAAAAAAAAAGUGUAAGAAAAUAUGUACGUCUUUACGGGGCCCAAUCAGAAAGCCCCGGCGAAAUCCGCG
rnacentral:rRNA from 1 species